rnacentral:sRNA from 1 species
CUGCUGUGUGCCAUCAUUUGUCUCCACUGAAGAAACUUGAGGAUCUGACUUGAAGGAUAGGAGUUGAACUGUCAAGGCAGAAAAUCCAAGAACAGAAAUACAAUCCAUGGGCAUGGACCGCUGAUUCAUAAAGUUUCACUGUAAGAACAGAGGGACGGACGACCGUGGUGCUGCAUGCCUUUAACCCCAGUCCUCAGGACACCGGCAGGCGGGAAGACCCACCUGAAAUCUGGGCCGCAACUUCUCAUGGCCACCUACGUGCAGGACAAGGAAGAAGGAAGCAUUUGUUCUCUGCCUGCUUGCCCUCCCUCUGACUGGCCCAUUCCUUCAGUGACACUGGAGCCUACCUCUUCAGGAUUCUGACAUACACUGAAGACCAGCUAAGACACCCAGCCUUCUGGGCUGAACGACUACUGGAUUCUUGACCUUUCGAUUGGUAGACAGCCAUCGUUGGACUAGCUAGACCACAACCAGACUGGACCUUUACAUUUGAGGCCUUACUGAGUGAGUUCCAGGGGAGCCAGGGAUACACAGAGAAACCACUUCUCAAAGGGGAAAAAAAGUGACUGUCAUUAUGCUUCUAUGGGUCUUGUUUUUCAAGUCCUAGUGAGUAAAACAAAAACUUAGUGCUUAGGGUUGGGGAUUUAGCUCA